rnacentral:lncRNA from 1 species
UGAUACAAAAAUAACAUAUGUUUUAGGUAAGGAAAAGUUCAAUGCUGUUCUAGCAAAUACUGAAAAUCAUGGGAGCAUAUUUGGAAUCAGGCCUGAAGCUGGAAGAUAGAAGAAUAUUGAGGAACAUGACAGAGACAUUUUAAAGAACCUUAAAUGGGCGAUUAGUAGAAACCUGGACUCAGGAUGCUGAAGUGAGUGCUCAGAAGAAAGUAUGGAACAUGUCAUCAGAACAAAAGGAAAAAUAUCCUUAUUGUAUGGUGGCAGAAAGCCUGGCAAAAUUAUGUCCUGGAGUUAUAUACAUACCAGAACCUUUAAGUGAUAAAAUUGCUUAUAUAUAUAAGGAAUUUCCAAAGUGUUGAAGUGACUCCUGAUUUCUUCUUGCUGACAAUAAUAAAAUAUAAGUGGAGUGUUAAACUGAGGAAAUGAUUCUCAAACAAAGAGAAACCAGACCUCUGUGAUGUUGGAAUUUCUCAUGAACUCCAAAAGGCAAACACAUUAGAAUCAAGAGUUUCAGUCAUGAUUGCAGUAUAUGAUUGUAUGAUCUUUUUGUAAAAAUAAGCAGGUACACAAAUUACUCUUUCAAAAAAUAAGAUUUGCCUCUCAAAUACCAAUCAAACUAGAAGUCCCUGAGGAAGCUUUAGGACACUCUCUCUUUCCAUCUUUUUUGAUGGCUGGUGUGGGUUGUAAUUAUUUAAGGAACAAUUUGAAAUCUUCUUUGGAUAGACUUUCUUUUUCAUAUGUUUUCUCUGAAGCCUCAGUUCCUCUAGCCUCUGUUCAGCUGAGCUAUUGGUACAAAAUUUAUUUUAAUUCUUGGAGAAAAGGAAAAAAAGUCUCAUCUGAUCUUUGCAUUGACUCAGUGUUGGGAUAUUCUCUUAAUGCCUAGUCAGACCCUUUACCAUUCCGACUCUUCACUUCCUGCAUUUCCUGAGCCUAAAUAUCAGUCAGAAGUGUCAUCUUGAGUCUUCUCAAGCAUUUACUUGGUAUAUACUCUGCUGUGGGAAUGCAUGUGGCUUUGUCAUUUCCUGUAUUAGGAAGCAUUCAAAGUUCUACUUCCCAUUAUAUUCUCUCUC